GAGGAAAAGCAGAACCUGCCCCAUGGGUAG
rnacentral:sRNA from 1 species